UUUUUUGGCCCAAAAAUGAGUUCGACAUCAUCUGAUCGGCUGUGUCGCUUCUAGACUACUACUCUUGGAGGCUGGUUCUCGUCUUCCCAAUCAUCGCCUAGAAAGACGAAAGGUCAAGAUGUUAAAGAUGAAGAGUCGAUUGGUUUCUCAAUCAUAUUGGUCUAGAGGAUCUUACCCAUAUAUCGAAUAACUAAAUAACCUCUCAGUCUCCCGAUUUCUGUCAAGAACAAAAGAAGUAAUGUAAUUUUUUGAAACUCUCUUGUUUCGUCUAUGGAUUUUGUCGAUGCUUUCUCAUCUUCUUAUUUAUGGGUCUGUCAAUACCUCUCUACUAUCUAAACUCAUCAGAGUUCACCCAUCCUUGAAUUUCAGUAAUUUGCGUUUCUUGAUUCGACUAAAUUCCUUAAUUAUGUAUAACGAAUUUAGUGGUGGGGUUCUCCCAUUCCUGAUUUCUGUGAACGUAAUCCGAAGAGACAGAAGACUAAAGAGUUUAGACGUGAACUCUGAAUUUCUGAUAAUAUCUCGAGAGUGGAGUGUCAAACGGACUUGACUAACAUAGAAGUAUUACGAGUUGCAAGUAUGGGGUGCGUAUGGUUUGCUUGAGGCUUGAUGAUUGUAGAUAGUGAGGUGGAUUCUUAAUUUGUGAGAAUGUAUUGGUAAUGUUAUUACCUAUGAAGGUUAUAAAUAUAAAGUGUUACUAGUGUGCCCUUGAUUAUUGUGGAUGAUGUGAGAUGGAUUCUUAAUUUUAAUUGAACAUGUACCAAUGGGCCAAUGGCCUAGCGGUAUGGAGUGACCAUCUCAUAUGAGAGGUCAGGGGUUCAAGUCUCAGUGGAGACAUAGGUGGUUAUUUAGGAGUAGAUUAGUUAGUUUGCCGUUUCAAAAAAAAAAUGGUGAACAUGUAUUGUAACGUAUAUGACUAUGAAUGGUAUAAAUAUAAAGUUGUAUUAGUUUGUAA